UCGAAACUAUAUUUUAUGGCUUCAAUAAAUUUGUGUAUACAUUGUCGUCAAUCUGUUGUGUUCAGUGAGGAUUGAGUCUUUGUCAGAGGGCAUAGUUCGCCAGCAGUCAAUGUUGAACAAAUUUGCAGGUAGCUGGGAAUUCAUUCCUAACUUUCAAAUUUGACAAGAAGGCUGUUUCUACCUUUAACUAAGCUGAAAGAAGUCAUUGUAUCAUCAGCCCUUACUGAUGAAACUCUUUUGAAUCCCACAACUAUGACCGCCAUCUAGCCUUUCCAGUUUCAAAAAUUAGAAAGCUGUCUGAAAAAAGGUUGAAAACGACGAGGGCUCAAAAAUUUUUCUUUGAGAUGAUCCCUAUAACUGACACCAAACCCGCUGCUUUGUUGAUCAAACAAUUGGUUCUGAGUGGAAAACUCACUGAGAUGGAAGCACAUUUAUGAUUCCUGUAUUACCCUAUUACUUGUGCUUGCCAUCUGAGCGAAUGUUCACCUCCCGGGAGGAUUUCUAGAAAGAGAGCCUCAAAAUAAAGAUCAAGU